AAUAGAUACCCAGGUAGUCCACGCCGUAAACGAUGAGUGCUAAGUGUUAGAGGGUUUCCGCCCUUUAGUGCUGCAGCUAACGCAUUAAGCACUCCGCCUGGGGAGUACGACCGCAAGGUUGAAACUCAAAGGAAUUGACGGGGGCCCGCACAAGCGGUGGAGCAUGUGGUUUAAUUCGAAGCAACGCGAAGAACCUUACCAGGUCUUGACAUCCUCUGACCUCCCUAGAGAUAGGGCCUUCCCCUUCGGGGGACAGAGUGACAGGUGGUGCAUGGUUGUCGUCAGCUCGUGUCGUGAGAUGUUGGGUUAAGUCCCGCAACGAGCGCAACCCUUGACCUUAGUUGCCAGCAUUCAGUUGGGCACUCUAAGGUGACUGCCGGUGACAAACCGGAGGAAGGUGGGGAUGACGUCAAAUCAUCAUGCCCCUUAUGACCUGGGCUACACACGUGCUACAAUGGAUGGUACAAAGGGCUGCGAGACCGCGAGGUUAAGCCAAUCCCAUAAAACCAUUCUCAGUUCGGAUUGCAGG
rnacentral:rRNA from 1 species